rnacentral:rRNA from 1 species
UACGGGGGGGGCAAGCGUUGUUCGGAAUUACUGGGCGUAAAGGGCUCGUAGGUGGCCAACUAAGUCAGACGUGAAAUCCCUCGGCUUAACCGGGGAACUGCGUCUGAUACUGGAUGGCUUGAGGUUGGGAGAGGGAUGCGGAAUUCCAGGUGUAGCGGUGAAAUGCGUAGAUAUCAUUUGGAACGCCAACGGCGAAAGCAGGCAGCUGGGGAUGCACCGACGCUGAGACACGAAAGCCAGGGGAGCGAACGGG